rnacentral:rRNA from 1 species
CCUACGGGUGGCAGCAGUGAGGAAUAUUGGUCAAUGGGCGGAAGCCUGAACCAGCCAAGUCGCGUGAGGGAUUAAGGCCCUGCGGGUCGUAAACCUCUUUUGCCGGGGAGCAGAGGUCCGGACGUGUCCGGGCCGGGAGAGUACCCGGAGAAAAAGCAUCGGCUAACUCCGUGCCAGCAGCCGCGGUAAUACGGGGGUUGCGAGCGUUAUCGGGAUUUAUUGGGUUUAAAGGGUGCGUAGGCGGGCAUUUAAGCCGGCGGUCAAAUGUCGGGGCUCAACCCCGGCCUGCCGUCGGAACUGGGUGCCUUGAGUGGGCGAGAAGUAUGCGGAAUGCGUGGUGUAGCGGUGAAAUGCAUAGAUAUCACGCAGAACCCCGAUUGCGAAGGCAGCAUACCGGCGCCCUACUGACGCUGAUGCACGAAAGCGCGGGUAUCGAACAGGAUUAGAUACCCUGGUAGUC